AGGUAAUAUAAAAUUUAUAAAACCUAUUUAAUUUGGCGGCAUAACAUCUAAUUAGAGGAAUUUGUCUAAUAAUUGAUAAUCCACAAUAAAUUUUACUUUUUUAAACAACUUAUAUACCGCCAUCUAAAGAAUUAAUUUUAUAAAUAUUAUUCAUAAUAAUUAUUAAAAAGUUAGGUCAAGGUGUAGUUAAUAUAAAAGUUUAGAUGAAUUACAUUAAAAUAUAUUUAAGGAAUAUUUAAUUAAAUUUUUUUAUGAAAAGGGAUUUAAAAGUAAAUAUUUAAUAAUAAUAAUAGUUGAAUUAGAUAGAAAUGUGU
rnacentral:rRNA from 1 species